GGUCUAAUAGUGUAGUGGUUAUCACAGCGGAUUCUGAGACAUUUGAUUUCCGCUAACCCAGGUUCGAGUCCUGGUUAGACCU